CUUACCUGAUGAGCUGUAUGAAAAUGAAACCGAAAAAGCGGAGAGCUAUCCAAAAAUGGCUUCCAAGAAAAUAUCAUCCAGGGAUGUUACAUUUUCUUAUAAUGUGAGGGUAUGCGGAAUAGAAGUCAUGAUCUGCAAGGAAGCUUCCCUAAGGGUUCAUGGCUUACAGAUACAUGCAUGAAGAGUGAGGAAUUUGCAACAUCAAAUGAAGCAGGGAUUUGCAGUGCCAAAAGAAGAUGGAAGAGGAAAACAUGGAAACUACCCACAUAAAUUUCAAGACGAAGCGGUACAAAGUGUUAGAGAAUUUCUCAACGCCAUACCGAAAUAUGUCAUUACAGUAGGCAACAGAACCCCAAUAAAGUGUAUUUGGAUUGUGAUCUCACAACUGCUUCCUUAUUUCGAGAUAAAUACUCAGAAUACUGCAAGGAAAAGCAGGUUCCUGCAGUAUCUGAAAGUAAAUUCAGAGAAAUUUUCGUAUCUGAAUUUAACAUAGGCUUCAAAUUACCAAAAAGAGACACCUGUUCAAAAUGUGAUGGAUUUCUAAUUGCAAUAAAUAACCCAGAAUUAUGUGCAGAAGAAGUCACAGAAAAGAAACAACAAUAUGAACUGCAUCUCAAAAAAGCUGACAGAGGACAAAAUAUGAUUGCGUCUUUAACUGCUCUGGCUAAAGAAAAUUCGAAAGAGCAUCAUGUGAUAGCAAUGGAUAUGCAGCAAACGUUCCCCACACCUAAA